GGAAUGCGAUAAGUAGUGUGAAUUGCAGAAUUCAGUGAAUCAUCGAAUCUUUGAACGCACAUUGCGCCCCUUGGUAUUCCAUGGGGCAUGCCUGUUCGAGCGUCAUUUGUACCUUCAAGCUUUGCUUGGUGUUGGGUGUUUGUCUCGCCUCUGCGUGUAGACUCGCCUCAAAACAAUUGGCAGCCGGCGUAUUGAUUUCGGAGCGCAGUACAUCUCGCGCUUUGCACUCAUAACGACGACGUCCAAAAGUACAUUUUUACACUCUUGACCUCGGAUCAGGUAGGGAUACCCGCUGAACUUAAGC
rnacentral:misc_RNA from 1 species